AAUCUGUCUGCCUUUAUCUGUUUGCCACUUUUCCAGGCUAUCCUUGCUUGUGCAUUUGCUGAGAAGGACUAUCAGAAAGCAGCUGCCACUGCAGCCCGAGUACUACAGAUGGGAUUUGUACUGGGACUUGGACUUGCUCUUUUUGUGGGACUUGGAUUGCAAUUUGGAUCUGGAAUAUUUUCGAAGGACAAAAGCGUUAUUCACAUGAUAUCUAUAGGCAUCCCGUUUGUUGCAGCUACACAGCCAAUAAACUCAUUAGCAUUUGUUUUUGAUG